rnacentral:lncRNA from 1 species
CCACACUUCACCAAACUCUGAUACCAUGUUGAAACUUCAGUGUCUCUCUGAUACCAGUUGUUAGGACCACCAUUCUCCUGUGUGGAUCUGAGGAUACCUGUGAUGGAUCCCUCUCUACGAGAGUCCAUGACGAUCUGGACUCUUCUGGGACAACAACCAUCAAGCUCUGGAUCCGGGCUUGAUCCUAAAUGCCGCACACCCCCCUUCUAGGGAAAAGGGGCAUGCGUGAUGCCUUAGAUAGCAUACAAAACCAGAG